rnacentral:lncRNA from 1 species
UCCCAAUAUUCAUAAGAUAUUUUAGCAUUUUACAACUUCUCAAUUUUUUUUAGUGUUCAAUUGAGAGAGAGAGAGAGAGAGAGAGAGAGAGAGAGAAAGAGAGAGAGCAGGAGAGGGGCAGAGAGAGAGGGAGACACAGAAUCUGAGGCAGGCUCUAGGCUCCAAGCUGUCAGUACAGAGACCAACACAGAGCUCCAACUCCUAAACCAUGAGAUCAUGAUCUGAGCUGAAGUCAGAUGCUUAACCGACUGAGCCACCCAGGUGCCUCCGGUCUGUUUUCUUCUAAUGCCAUGAUGUUUCCAUAAUACCCAUAGGGCCCAAGUGUGGCUAAGGGAUUCCACUGGCUAGAGCCUUUUGAUUCUUCUCUCUCUGGGCCCCAAACUCUUCAUUUACUGGACUCCAGAGGCAUUGAAACAAAUUGAUUCUUUAGAUCCCCUUUCCCCCAGAGAGCUGAUAUCCAAGUGUCCUUAUAGAUGUAGAGAACUGUGACAGAAUAGUAUCACAAAGGAAUUAUUAGUGGGACUAGGAGAGGCACACAACUGGCUCAGGAGGCCUGUCUUCCUGGAAAAUGCAUCUUCCUGAACUCCAACCAAAGCAGCAUCUGGGGUUUUAUUGAGAAAACUGACCAGGAAAGCCAAAUAUCCUUCACAUUUCAAUAAAUGUCAACUUGCCCAUUGAAAAAGCACAGUGGAGUCUCCAUCAAAACAUGGAGUUGGGGCAUGAGGCGACUUCAGCUGCUUCCUGGAACGGGCCAGGACACAGGGAUGAUGUUCCACGGAUAAGGCUGUGCUGUGCCAGGCGAGGCCCAGACGCACAUCUGGAUGCUUAAACCCCAGCAUACAAUGGCAGCCAGAUGGCUUCAUCUGUCCUUUGAACGUGUCUGUCCUUUUAAAUUCCAGCUUAACGGCCACGUGUUUUAGGCCACUUUUAUCAUCCCAAAAUAGCGCUCUGACCAUGUCUGCAAAGAAGGGCCCCUGAAGCAAACGCAGUGGGCUGGCUGCCAAGGCUGGCAGAAUGAGACACAGUACUUGAAAUAAAUGCAGGGUGUUUGCUUACA